AAGUCGUAACAAGGUAUCCGUAGGUGAACCUGCGGAUGGAUCAUUACCAAAGGAUUUUUCCUGACGUACUGUGAACUGUAUUGAAUGCAUGGUUAGUGGUUUGUUUUGUAGAGAUUAAUUUCUCUACAACAUUACCACUAACUGUAACAAAACGUAUUUACUCUAUAAACUGACGUCUGCUUUAGCUUAAUAAACUAAAGACAACUUUUAGCAAUGGAUCUCUUGGCUCUC
rnacentral:misc_RNA from 1 species